CUGCUGACGACCGGCGCACGGGUGCGUAACGCGUAUGCAACCUACCUUCUACAGGGGGAUAGCCCAGAGAAAUUUGGAAUAAUACCCCAUACGAUCUUUACUUGGCAUCGAGUAAAGAAGAAAACUUCGGUGGUAGAAGAUGGGCAUGCGUCCUAUUAGUUAGUUGGUGAGGUAACGGCUCACCAAGACAUCGAUAGGUAGGGGCCCUGAGAGGGGGAUCCCCCACACUGGUACUGAGACACGGACCAGACUCCUACGGGAGGCAGCAGUGAGGAAUAUUGGACAAUGGAGGCAACUCUGAUCCAGCCAUGCCGCGUGCAGGAAGACUGCCCUAUGGGUUGUAAACUGCUUUUAUACAGGAAGAAACUGCGCUACGUGUAGCGUACUGACGGUACUGUAAGAAUAAGGAUCGG
rnacentral:rRNA from 1 species